UGCUUCCAAGGUGAAAAACUGAGCGAUGUUUCCUGCUUGCAGGAAAACAGCGCUCAGUUUGGAACCUGCCCUUUCAUGAGGAUGGCAGCGAUUUACGAAGUAAAUCCGCGAAUCCGAAUGAAAGCAGGAUUGCGAGAGCGGCGAAGCUGCGGAGCAAUCCGUGGGAAGCA
rfam:Clostridiales bacterium 41_12_two_minus Ley3_66761_scaffold_275, whole genome shotgun sequence.